rnacentral:lncRNA from 1 species
AAGCCACCUCCAUCACCACGGACGUGGACACAGGAGGCUGCCGACAAAGCGCAAUAAAGCCGGUGACCUCAGAUACAGAGUUUAUCCUCUCACCAUCCCGGAGGCCAGAAAUGCCAGACCAAGGUGCCGGUGGGCCGUGCUCCCUCAGGAGGCCUUGGCGAGGCUCCCUCUUGGGGCCCCAGGUGUUCCUGGGCUUGUGGCUACAUUGCUCCCAUCCCUGCCUCAGUUGUCACAUUCUCCCCAGGUGCCUGUGUCUUCUAACAAGGACAUCAGCCAUUGGAUGAAGCCACCUUAAAUCCAGGAUGACUUCAUCGUAACUUACUGACAUCAGCAAAGACCCUAUUUCCAAAUACGGUCACAUUCACAGCUGCAGCUGGUUAGGACUUGAACAUGUAUUUUGGGGGGACACAAUUCCACCCACAGCAAUCCCCCUUGGUCCCCACUCAGCCCAGGUGAGAGCCAACCGGCACCUGCACAGCUGAAGCCAUGGUCCCCACCCCACCUUUGGUCCCCACAUCACGUGGAAAGCUCACGUGCAGGGGCUCUGCUGUCCAUGAACUCUCCUCACCUAGUCCUCGCCACAACUCCAGGCCCCAACGCAAAAGCAUGGCAGGUCUGCCUGGCCCAGAAGCCCCCUGUCCCCAACAUUGUUCUGCCAGCCCCAGGGAGGGCUUCCUGAUGUGCCACCAGGGUCCUUCGGCCUGGCAGGCUGAAGCCGGGGCCGGCUGUCACUGCCGCUGUCCUGGAUAGCCUCGUGGGCCUCCCCUGUGGUAAGCCAGGGGCUGUCUCGUUGCCCAGUAAGCCCUGGCUGCCCUCCCCUCCACAGGCUGGGCAGGCAACAGAAAAGCAGACUUCAGGAGCAAAAGGCGGAGGCCCCAGACCCCAGCUCUCCCAGAGCAGAAUGGAGCAGAAGGGACGGGCCGGUCCUUUAUCCCCUGGAGCCAGGCUUCCUGCCUCAGAAAUGCUUGGGGCUGCCCUCACACCACGCUGGGCAGCUUCAGGAGACACCGUGUGAUCACCUGGUGCUGGGGAACUCGCAGGCAUCAGCCCCUCCACUCCUCCCCAUUGGGGAAAGGGAGGAGAUGGGGCCCAAGGCAAGGGACCCAGGACAGGGCUUUGCAGGAGCACCCAAGCUUCAUGGGGCGAUUUCAUCAGUCACAUAGGAAUGCCAGCUGCGACGCCCACACACUGGAGACCCAGCAAACGAAGCAGGCCCGGACACUGGCAUGGAAUUCUGACACAUCAGGGUACAACCACCAAAUUGGAAAGGUCAUAAAAUAUUAAAGCUGUUGAUGGAGAGAAAAUAUUGAAGAUUUCAUCAGCAGUUUCUUGCCCUAUUUCAAUGAUAUUAACUUUUUAAUUAAAAUUGACGCUCAAGACUUUCCAACAGAGGGAAGUUUCACUUCUUAACCUAGAGGGAGCCGCA